rnacentral:rRNA from 1 species
GGAGGAUCCAAGCGUUAUCCGGAUUUAUUGGGUUUAAAGGGUGCGUAGGCGGCAGAUUAAGUUAGAGGUGAAAUUCCGAGGCUCAACCUUGGCACUGCCUCUGAUACUGGUUUGCUAGCGAGUAGAUGCUGUAGGCGGAAUGUGUGGUGUAGCGGUGAAAUGCAUAGAGAUCACACAGAACACCGAUUGCGAAGGCAGCUUACAAAUCUAUAUCGGACGCUGAGGCACGAAAGCGUGGGGAGCAAACAGGAUUAGAUACCCUGGUAGUCCACGCAGUAAACGAUGAUAACUCGUUGUCGGCGAUAUACAGUCGGUGACCAAGCGAAAGCGAUAAGUUAUCCACCUGGGGAGU